ensembl:lncRNA
CCUUCAGCUGCAAGUGAAAAGUAGAGCAGAAUCCUGCACACCCUGAUAAAAGUAUUCAGAAAACAUGAAAUAAUGAAUAGUUUGUAGAUGAGGCACUUACUGUGCGAGGUGGUCAAACAACUGUGUGCACACUGAGGGAUUUCUCAUCCGGCAAGAGCUGCUCCUGGAAAGAGGAGGGAAAAAGACAGUGACCUUGUGAAGUGGGAAAAGAAGAAACCUGCCUUUUGGCUGAAUGUGGCACGUGAAAAGUUAAGAAUGGUUCUUGACCUGUCUGGUGAAAAGUUGGUGACUUGCCUGAGAAAUAAAAAAAGAAGGAUGGAUAGACCUAAAAGCAAGGAUUCAUGACUGAGACAUCUCGACAUCCCUGCUGGCUGCUGCAGGAGCCAGGCAUCACUUAGACACAGUGACUUGUAGAAGUCGAGAGGACACCAUUGUCCUGCUCCCUGGAAAUGCAUCAAACUCACCCUGAAAAACAAAAACCCAACAACAAAAGCCUAAUCCCCAACAUGAACAGUAUAUCUCAACCAGUUCCUCUUCUAUCAGUUAAGAGCAGAAAUACUGGAUGCCAGUAAUACCAUUAAUUGUAUUUCUAGAGAAAAAACAGCCAAAUUCUUUUGACAUAUAUCUCCUCAUCCAUACUGCUUUAGCCUGCAUAAUUUUAGUGGUCAAGCACCUACUUUGGGUAACAUUUUUCAGUCCUUGAUGGAUAGUCGCAGCAGAAAAUUAUAUCUUUCUGUCAGUAGGUAAAUAGGUUGCCUGUGUGUAUUGUCACAGUCAGGUUGGAUUCUAUAAAACUUCCCUUUCCAGAAAAAGAUAUUCAUUACUAACCACAAAAAAAUAAAAAAUAAAAAAAAAUAAAAAUAAAAAAAAUCUGUAUAAUAGUCAAACAGUCACAGAAAAAAUCAUAUUUUGCUUUAAACUUGAUUCUUUUCACACUUGCAUGAUAUAUACAUAAGCACAAUUUUAUUAGACUUGAUUUUCUCCUAGGAUAUUUCUAUGUCUGACAUAGGAAUUUCAAUAAAAGGAAUACAGAGAGACUUA